rnacentral:misc_RNA from 1 species
ACUUAUUCGUUUCUUGUUUAAAAGAAACUCCCAAACCUUUCAUGAACAUUGAACAAGCCAAUAAUUCAUUUCAGUCUAUGCAUCUUACAGGAAAAGACGGACCGAUUCCUGAUUAUAGCUGGAAAAUGGCCACAGUCAUUGGUGGGGCGUACUUCGUAUUCGUGGCCGAGCGCCUUCUGAAGUUUGUCCUUGAUAACCGCAAGGUUGAUACCCGGCAGCUUCUAAAGCAUCCAAACACGAUUUCGUUCAUUUUUUUUUUUGUUAAACGCGUUAUUUUAUACCGCCAUCUUUUAAAUGAUUAUGUAUCUUAUAAUUUUAUUUUUAUAAUCUUAUAAUUUUUAUGUAAACAGAAAAAGAAAUCCGACAAUGAUUCCGUGGAAGUGAGCGAAGAAAACAGCAAAGAACUUCUGGCAGUGAAUUCAAACAACACCCACGGUCAUACUCACUCGCACCUGCCUGUCGGCCAGGGGAAGGGCAGCAAUGGAGACGUGGCCCCCGUGGCAUGGAUCUUGCUCAUUGGGGACGCCAUUCAUAACUUUGUAGACGGGUUGUCCAUCGGAGCAGCGUUCACAGAAAACACCUUUCUAGGGAUUAGUGUGUCCCUGGCUGUGCUGUGUGAAGAACUUCCUCAUGAAUUAGGAGACAUAGCCAUCCUCCUUCACGCCGGACUAUCCAUGAAGAGGGCGCUGUUUUAUAACUUUAUCGCGGCAGUUAUCUGUUACAUCGGCCUCGUUAUAGGAAUCAUAGUAGGGGAGGCCACCAGUGCCAACCAGUGGAUAUUUGGACUGGCGGGCGGAAUAUUCGUAUACAUUGCAUUAGCAGACAUGGUUAGUUCAAUGAUUAGAAAGUAUGUAAAUUAAUACGUACAUCAGUACAGUAUCUAAGAUAGCGAAUGGUGCUUGACUAUCGGCUUCACACGGAUAGAGACAGCGGAUUCGUUAAACUUGAAAAACCAAAGAUAACUAAAUGCAUAUUGGAAACUUUGAUUUAGACAAACCAGGAUGUCUCAUUUUUUUGGGGGGGGGGUAUUUCUUAUUUUAUUUCAAAGGUAGAUAAUAAUAAAAAUUCACGUUUUACAUUAUCACGUUUUCGUGAGAUGAACUGAAUGAGUCCCGUCUCUUUAUUCUACAGAUUCCUGAAAUGAAAGAACAAUUAGCUGAGGCGGAGAGGAGCGGAUCAGAAAAUAUGUUGCUAGUGUUCGUUAUACAGAAUUCGGGAAUAGUGAUUGGUUUCUUAAUCAUCCUAUGUCUUGUCCAGUAUGGGGGAGAAAUUCAAGUCUGAAUGGUGGAGAGAGAGAGAGAGAGAGAGAGAGAGAGAGAGAGAGAGAGAGAGAGAGAGAGAGAGAGAGAGAGAGAGAGAGAGAGAGAGAGAGAGAGACUGAGCCUGUAUAGAUAUGCUCAUAAUUUUCAUUUAUUUUGACAAUCAUAUACUUGUACGCUGUAUUUUGUACUUAUUGUGUUUUCAAAGUAUUACCAGCAUUUUUGUUAUUUGAAUAUACAUGUAAUAUAUAAUAUAACAUAACAGUACAUAUUUUAUAAAAAUAAAUGUCGGAGCUUCG